CCUACGGGAGGCAGCAGUGGGGAAUAUUGGACAAUGGGCGAAAGCCUGAUCCAGCAAUGCCGCGUGAGUGAUGAAGGCCUUAGGGUCGUAAAGCUCUUUUACCAGGGAUGAUAAUGACAGUACCUGGAGAAUAAGCUCCGGCUAACUCCGUGCCAGCAGCCGCGGUAAUACGGAGGGAGCUAGCGUUGUUCGGAAUUACUGGGCGUAAAGCGUGCGUAGGCGGUUAUUCAAGUCAGAGGUGAAAGCCCGGGGCUCAACCCCGGAACGGCCUUUGAAACUAGAUAACUAGAAUCUUGGAGAGGUCAGUGGAAUUCCGAGUGUAGAGGUGAAAUUCGUAGAUAUUCGGAAGAACACCAGUGGCGAAGGCGACUGACUGGACAAGUAUUGACGCUGAGGUACGAAAGCGUGGGGAGCAAACAGGAUUAGAUACCCUGGUAGUCCACGCCGUAAACGAUGAUAACUAGCUGUCCGGACACUUGGUGUUUGGGUGGCGCAGCUACGACAUUAAGUUAUUACCGUCCGUCGGGUAGGUACGGUCGCGAAGAAUUAAACUAACAAUAGAAUUAGACGGCGUGAGACGUAGCCGACGGACGACGACGAGGGAGGUAGG
rnacentral:rRNA from 1 species